rnacentral:rRNA from 1 species
UACGUAGGGGGCGAGCGUUACCCGGAAUCACUGGGCGUAAAGGGAGCGUAGGUGGCCUGACAUGUCGACUGUGAAAACCCGGAGCUCAACUCCGGACUUGCAGUUGAAACUGCCAGGCUUGAGGACGGUAGAGGAAGACGGAACUGCCAGUGUAGGGGUAAAAUCCUUAGAUAUUGGCAGGAACGCCGGUGACGAAGGUGAUUUUCUGGGCCGGUUCUGACACUGAUGCUCGAAAGCCGGGGGAGCGAACGGGAUUAGAUACCCCCGUAGUCCCUGAGCGGGCUGG